rnacentral:rRNA from 1 species
AACGGGUGAAGUAAUGCGUCGAACCCAACCUGCCCCAUGCUCCAGAAUAGCUCUUGGAAACGGGUGGUAAUGCUGGAUGCUCCAACUUGACGCAUGUCUUGUUGGGAAAGUGUUUAGUGGCAUGGGAUGGGGUCGCGUCCUAUCAGCUUGUAGGCGGGGUAAUGGCCCACCUAGGCUUCGACGGGUAGCCGGCCUGAGAGGGCGGACGGCCACAUUGGGACUGAGAUACGGCCCAGACUCCUACGGGAGGCAGCAGCG